rnacentral:rRNA from 1 species
AGUUAGUUGGUGGGGUAAGAGCCUACCAAGACAAUGACGCGUAGCGGGUUUGAGAGGAUGAUCCGCCACACUGGUACUGAGACACGGACCAGACUCCUACGGGAGGCAGCAGUGAGGAAUAUUGCACAAUGGGGGAAACCCUGAUGCAGCAACGCCGCGUGGAGGAUGACGCAUUUCGGUGUGUAAACUCCUUUUAUCAAGGAAGAAAAUGACGGUACUUGAUGAAUAAGCACCGGCUAACUCCGUGCCAGCAGCCGCGGUAAUACGGAGGGUGCAAGCGUUACUCGGAAUCACUGGGCGUAAAGGACGCGUAGGCUGGCUUUUAAGUCAGAUGUGAAAUCCUAUGGCUUAACCAUAGAACUGCAUUUGAAACUGGGAGCCUAGAGUAUGGAAGGGGCAGAUGGAAUUAGUGGUGUAGGGGUAAAAUCCGUAGAUAUCACUAGGAAUANCGAAAGCGAAAGCGAUCUGCUGGGACAUNACUGACGCUGAGGCGUGAAAGCGUGGGGAGCAAACGGGAUUAGAUACCCCGGUAGUCCAUGCCCUGAACGAUGAAUGCUAGUCGUCGCAAUGCUUGACAUUGCGGUGAUGCAGCUAACACAUUAAGCAUUCCGCCUGGGGAGUACGGUCGCAAGAUUAAAACUCAAAGGAAUAGACGGGGACCCGCACAAGUGGUGGAGCAUGUGGUUUAAUUCGAAGAUACACGAAGAACCUUACCUAGCCUUGACAUUGAAAGAACACUUUAGAGAUAGAGUGGUGCCCUUCGGGGAGCUUGAAAACAGGUGCUGCACGGCUGUCGUCAGCUCGUGUCGUGAGAUGUUGGGUUAAGUCCCGCAACGAGCGCAACCCUCGUCCUUAGUUGCUAGCAGUUAGGCUGAGCACUCUAAGGAGACUGCCUUCGCAAGGAGGAGGAAGGUGAGGACGACGUCAAGUCAUCAUGGCCCUUACGGCUAGGGCUACACACGUGCUACAAUGGGGCGUACAGAGAGUUGCGAUACCGCGAGGUGGAGCUAAUCUCUUAAAGCGUCUCUCAGUUCGGAUUGUUCUCUGCAACUCGAGAACAUGAAGCUGGAAUCACUAGUAAUCGCAGAUCAGCUAUGCUGCGGUGAAUACGUUCCCGGGUCUUGUACUCACCGCCCGUCA